ACUCCUACGGGAGGCAGCAGUGGGGAAUAUUGCACAAUGGGGCGCAAGCCUGAUGCAGCCAUGCCGCGUGUAUGAAGAAGGCCUUCGGGUUGUAAAGUACUUUCAGCAGUGAGGAGUGGAGUCAGUUAAUAGCGCUCAUUUGACGUUAGCUGCAGAAGAAGCACCGGCUAACUCCGUGCCAGCAGCCGCGGUAAUACGGAGGGUGCGAGCGUUAAUCGGAAUUACUGGGCGUAAAGCGCAUGCAGGUGGUUUGUUAAGUCAGAUGUGAAAG
rnacentral:rRNA from 1 species